CAGCUUCCACCUGCCCAGGAGAAAUGAAGUGAAUGUGGGUAUCGACAGCGCCAGCAGUGACGAUCUUGCCUUCGCCAGCAAUAACCUCGGUGCCUACACCGACGGUGAUAUCGAUUCCAUCCUGGAUAUCUGGGUUGCCGGCGCGACCGAUCUUCAUGAUCUUGCCGUCCUUGAUGGCAACGUCAGCCACGUAAACUCCGGUGUAGUCGAUCACGAGCGGACCGGUAAUCACGAGGUCAGGGAUAAUGUCGUCACCCUUUACUCGAGAGUUCUGCCCCAUGCCGUCACGG
rnacentral:sRNA from 1 species